CUCCUUCCCUCCCUCCCUCCUCUCAGCGACCGAGAAUGCCCGUGUUGUACUGACACAGUAGCGAUACGGGCUGAGCAGACAUGGAGGCCCGAUUGACGAGAGAGGCCCGCGCUGACACAUCCAGGCCCAGCUAACGGUGUGUCGGAGUGGAUUUCGGAGCAUCUCGGGAGAUAUUACGGAUACCAGUCGCCGUGACGAAAAAAGGAUUUAGGCACCGAGGAAGAAGAAAUAAGAGGGAGAUCCAUUUCGGGUCUCUGUUGAUUCAACGCAGCCGCCAUUUUGUUGACACUGUUGGAAGAUUAUUUUAAUAAAAGGGGGGGAAAUGUGGCCACCACGUUGAUACACAAGAAGACAGGACACAGCCAAAUAAUGUGAACACCGUUUCUGGACUAUUUCAGAGUUGAAGGACGGAGAAAUAGGGCUGGACAGCCGAGGAAGGGAGAGAAGCCCCCAAAGCAAGGAGAGCUUCACCCUCACCGUUAUCCCCCUCCCCCUUUCCCCCCUUCACCCUUAUCCCAUCCCUAGACAAAAACUCUACCUGGUAUCCACAUUAACCACUCCUUAAACUCCAUAAACUUGUACCCCCCCAAACAAUCUAAUGGAUCAGAAGAUUCAAGGGAGGACUGCAACUCCACCCCCUCUCCUGUCCGGUGCUCCCACAGGGGAGCGAGAGAAGGAGGGAGCGGGUGGGAAGAAAGAAGAAGAGGAGGAAAAAAAGAGGGACAGAGAGAAGGAGGGAACCCCCACCGCAUCUGCUGGUGCAGGAGGCACAGGUGGGCCAGGAGGUGCCGGUGGUGACCAGUCCCAUUUCUCCAUCAAAGAGAGCAGCCUGUCCGAGGGCAAUGUCAAACUGAAGAUUGGCCUCCAGGCGAAACGCAUGAAGAAGCCUCCUAAGAUCCUGGAGAACUAUGUGUGCCGACCGGCUUUCAGAGCCACUGUGAGGCAUACGGGUCGUGGAGGAGGUAAUGCCCGUGGAAACCGUGCAGGCGCCACGGGUGACGGGGCGGGCACUCAGAGCCAGAGUCCUUCACAGGGCAGAGAAAAAGAGAGGGAAAAGAGUCCCAGUGUAAACAGACCACCCAUCUCAUCAUCUUCAACAGCCCCAACUGCUAAAGCUCCCACACCACCUCCUCUAGCUCCUCCUCCUGCUAGCACUUCCACCCUGACACCCUCCCAAAUGAAUGGGAACGCGCCGGCAAAAAAGGGUCCACCAAAGAUGGAUUGCAAGUCUGAUUCAAAGUCAGACACAAAAGCAGCUACCACCACAUCUGAGAGACCACUUAACCUUCACCGCCCUCCACCAGACAGCAAAACGCAUUCCUCUGGGAAGAAAGCGCCAGCUCCGCAACCCAACCCCCGGACAUCUUCACCAUCUCCGCCAUUAUCUUUAACGAAAGAACCCAGCCUUGAAGGUGUUAAGCCUCCUCAAUGUACCUACAGCACAGACAGUCAAAGAGAUAAGGACAAAGGUCUUCAGAGUUGGGGAGCGCCAACCGUCACUGAAAAAUUAGCUCAGCUAAUAGCAACUUGUCCACCAUCCAAGACCCCUAAGCCAGCCAAACCUGCAAAGAUUGAUCCCAGCCCUGCUCUUCCGAGCUCAGGCUUUAUGGCCCCUACAGCCAAGCAACGAGACAGAGCUUUGGCCAAUAGGAACACAUAUUCAAGAAUGGUUCACCUUUCUCCUCCACCUCCUGUGUCAAGACCACCUGGUCGGCCAUAUGGGUCUAGAAGCAAAGACAGUAUUUUAGAAAAUUCAACCACCCUGACGCCGCUGAGGAACGAGGACUUGGAUGGGACUGGGAAAGCUGCUAGCAGCAAUGGAAACAACAGUAUCAGCAUGAGCAGCACCAACAGCAGUAGUCGCAGCAACAGCCCAGCAUUCACCUAUGGCAAUAACCGCCUGACAGUCCUGUCAAAUGAAAGCAACAGUGACAGCAGCAACAGUAGCAUUUCUAAGCAACCGUUACACCCUGCUCACUCCUUACCCCAUACCACGUCACCUUCAUUGUGUCCAAUUUCAUCAUCUUCAUCAUCAUCGGUGGAGCAGAGGACGGUGAGUGCAGUGAGUCACCUGGGCUCCCCUGUUCCCUCACAAGGACACCAUGCACGAGAGUCUCCUGCCCUCGCAGAGGAAAGCAGUGCAGGUGAGCGAGAGCAAGACAGGGACAUCCCCAGAGACUUAUCUAAGUGCCCCCCUUCAGCAGCAACUGGAAGGCCAGAAGGGAAAGAGAAAGGGGGAAGCAACCAGUCAGUACGAGUUGAGAGGGGAAAAAGUUCUAGUCCAAGUAAACGUAGUCCCAACCAGGAUAGUAACCGACCCAGUUGGACUAGCAGUCCCCCUGAGUCUAUUAGACAAAGGACACCUUCACCACUGGAGCCAGAUGAUGACGAUGAUGAUGAUGAUGAUGAUGACGAUGAUGAUGAUGAAGAAAGCCCACAGACGCCUCUCAGAGAUGACUCUCCUGAUUCAUCCCUAGACUCUCCAGCAGAGCAGGACAGCAAACCCCUUAAAAAGCGCAGGGGAAGAAAACCCCGCUGGACACGUGUUAUGCUAAAGGCCCAAAGUCAGAGAAGCCUGGACAGUCUCUUCACUGAGAACAAAACCACCAUGCCUUUAUCUUCAAGCCUGGAAACUCCAACGCCACCAGUUAAAAGACCCGUAGGCAGGCCCCCGAAUCCAAAUAAGGUCAAACCAAAUCCUGUGUCACAAAAUUCAGUGUCACAGCUCUUCCCACCCCAGCCUAAAAAAAGAGGAAGGCCAAAGUCUAAAAUGCCAAGGCUUGAUGCACCGGCCCGUGGGAAUCCCCCUAACAAGCUACAACCCUCUAAGGUCUUUUCAUCUUUGUUGAAGUCCAAAGAAGAACAGGACCCACCUGUUCUUCACCCAGAGGUAGACUUAAACCCUCCUAAACCUAUGCCUAGGAAACGUGGGCGCCCCAAGCGCCUUCCUCCUACUUUACCGCAGGAGGGUCAGCCUCCCACGUUGGCUCCAGAAGCAGGGGAAAGAUUCCGCAACAAAGGAAACGGGCAGCUUAUCAUGAAAACUAUUAUUGGCAAGAUCAAUAAGAUGAAAAGCGUUAAGCGGAAGCGUAUUCUCAGUCAAAUCCUUUUAGGCCCAAGGUCAGAAGACACCCCUAAAGGCACCACUAGUAGCAUGGCUGCAACAGCAGAAGCUGCAACGCAGUCAUUGUCAUCCCUAGCUGCUUCUUUUGGAGGAAAACUAGGGCCUCAAAUUAAUGUCAGUAAAAAGGGCACAAUAUACAUGGGUAAAAGGAGAGGCCGUAAACCAAAAGCAGCAACUAAUGUCUCAGCUACAAUGUCACCUUCAGAAACCUUUAUAUCUCCAAACACCACUUCCCCUCUUCAUCCCCAUCAGUCACAGUCCCAUCAGCAGCACCAGCUCUCCUCAGAGGUUUUUUCCUCACCCUCCCUCUCACAGUUAAGUGGAGGCCACAGUCCCAUCAGCGAUGGUAGCUUUGUGGAGCCAGGCUCAGUGCACUUCGCAGGUCACUCUCACUAUUCCAACUCUCAUCAUAGCCAUAACACGUUUUCGCUUCCUCCUCCAACCUUUUCAGCUCCUAAUCCUCGCAACCCAAUCAUGGGCUCGAUGUCAUCGUCUGGUGUCCCAGUAGCCUCCCAGAAAAAGUCAUCUUGCCGUGGAUAUCAUCACCACCAUCACCAUUAUAGGCAGCACUACCAUUAUCAUAAGCUUUCCCCUCCCAGGCCACUCCAUCCCACCUCCCCUGCCCCUCUGAGUGAGCUAAAAGAAGCCACGCCAUCACCAGUCAGUGAGUCACACAGCGAGGAGACGGUGCCCAGUGACAGUGGUAUAGGGACAGACAAUAACAGCACCUCUGACCGUGGUGAGAAAGCUGGAGGAGCAGGUGGUUUGGGUGCAAUUGGCAUCCCACCUGGGAUGGGCGGUGGAUUAUUAAUGCCAGGGGUCAUGGGUUCAGCUAUGGGUCCAGGGAUGGGCAUUAACUCAAGGGGCAGGCGUCGACACAGCAAUGUACUUAUGGAACAUCCUUCACCGUCUCCAUCACCCCAUGGGACAAGGUCAUCGCCUGAUCCCCGAAGACCUCACCCAGCAGCUCCCGCCACAACAUUAGUGGGACACAAGGAGAAACAUAAGCACAAAUGCAAACGCCGAAGCCAUGGCUGCCCCGGCUAUGACAAGCUAAAGAGGCAGAAGAGGAAACGCAAGAAGAAGUACUUACAGCUACGCUCCCGACGGCUCGACCCAGACUUCCUCGCUGAGCUGGACGAGAUUGUUGUGCGACUAAGUGAAAUACGCAUAACUCACCGCACCACAGGGCACCGGCUCGGAAGCGGAAUAGGGAUAGCAGCGGGAUCAAGUAGAGUGCCAGGGGUGGGUGGCAGGGCUGCUGGCGCCAUAGGAGGCACAGGUGGCCCUCCUCCGCAUCAUUAUGUUCACAGAGACCUCCUGCCUACAAUCUUCAGGGUUAACUUUGGCAGCUUCUACUCUCAUCCACCAUACUCCUGUGACCCGUUGCACUAUGUUCGUAAACCGGAUAUGAAGAAGAAACGUGGACGGCCUCCCAAACUGAGGGAGUCUAUGUCUGAGGUUCCAUUUGUACCUGGACUUGGAUUCCCCCUUUCAAGUGGAGGCUUCUACCACCCCUCCUAUGUUCCUUACUCAUCAGGACCUCUGGGGUUGGGCUAUUACAGAGGUUAUCCUCCAGCAAGUGCGCUGUAUCCCCACCCACACCACCAGUCACCCCAUACAGCCCCAUCACAUCACACUCACCACUCACCGUCUUUCCCACCUCCCCCCACAUCUUUCUUACAUCACCACCACCCUUCACAUCUCCUGCUGAACCACUCAAAGUUUCACAAGAAAAAACACAAGCUGCUAAGGCAGGAGUACCUGGGAGCAGGACGGCCUCCUGUCCUAUACCCACCCAUGUCCUCUGAGCUCUCCUUCAACUGGCACCACAAACAUAAACACAGACACAAACACAGAGAACGCUGUGCUGAGGAUGACAGGGAGGAAGCAGCAAGAGGUGGAUCAGGGAGCCGAGCUAGUGCAGGGAUUUCAGACAGUGGAACAUCUGGGAAAGGAGAGCGAGUUAGUGGUUUGGGAAUGGCAGAGGCUUUACAGCGAUGCCGCUUUGGACGAGACACCUCCAGCACCAGUGCCAGCAAGCUAGCUGCCACUACCUCUGCUAACUCCCCCUCUUCUUCCUCAUCCUCAUCUGCUGAAAGGUACAAGCGCAAAGAGAGCUCCAUGUCCUGUCUAGGACCUUCAAGGCUUGCAUUGGGCAACAGCUCAAAGGGCCACUCAGCUGAGUCCUGGUUCAGGAUAGGCAACUCUGAAGCAGACUACUCAAAGCUGUCACGGAGUCAAUUGGCUCCUGGCCAGGGUUCCUUCUCAGACGGACGGGCAGAAGACCCAGCGGGCUGCUCGGACAGUGAGGAUGAGGAGCCUCUCACUCCCACAGAGGAUGUAGAAACCCACGAUUCUCCAAAGCGUACAAAUCUGUUUGCUUCAGCAAUCACCCGCACUUCACUGAAAGGAGGCAGGAGCAGAAAGACUGAUGUAGUUACAGAGACUUCCAGCUUCUCUCACAUGGACCGGCCAAUGAGGAAGGAACACUCAACAUCAGCAGAGAGGAGAGAGUUGGGGUCAUCAGGUAUCCAGACAAGGGGUGUUGCACUCCCAACCUCAGAAGAACCUGAAGGAUCCCUGCACCACCGCCAACAGCACCAUCAUCAGUCUUCUCUGUUUCACUCCCACAGCUCAACCUCCUCAUCCUGCCUCUCUCCCUCUCAGGAGUGUUGCCUGGAUGUCUCACUGUCUCACAACUCCCAUAGGGUACAGCCCUCCAAAUACAGUCUGCACCAUGUCAACAAAAUCCUGCGUGCCAAGAAGCUGCAGAGACAGGCCCGUACAGGAAACAACAUGGUAAAGAAGAGGGGGCCUGGACGUCCUAGGAAACACCCGUUACCCUCCCCACCACCGUCCCCUCCACCUGUGGUAGAGUUGAAUCAAGUCCGGCACCGGGAGAAAGGGGUGGAACGGUUAGCAGAGGGAAGAGGGUGGGAGGGUGAUACUGUGACUGAUGCUAUUGAGUCGGUAGUCCAGGGGCAACGCAGAAAAGGUCAGAAGCGAAAGCACUGGGAGAGAGAAGGGGAUGAGGAAGAGGAGGAGGAUGUGGAAGAGGACAGGGAGGCUGAAGACAUGGAGGGACACUUGCCUGAAAGAGAGGAAAACCUAGGGAGCCUUGUGGCAAGGUCCAGACCUGGGACAGGAAGGAGUUGGCUUACCCAAGAUGAGCUACAGAGCCUUCAUGGCUCAGUGGAAACCAAGCCAGAUGGUCACUGCUCAUCAGAGGGCCCAGGCCCUGUCUCCAGGGAACAAGCUCCACCUAUGCCCAUAGCCACCCAGCGAGAGAAAAGACCAGCACGACCUCCGAAGAAGAAGUUCCAGAAAGCGGGGUUAUAUUCUGAUGUGUACAAAACUGAAGACCCCCGUAGUCAGCUUCUGCAGCUGAAGAAAGAGAAGCUAGAGUAUAUACCCGGGGAACAUGAGUAUGGAUUGUUUCCUGCUCCAAUACAUGUUGGAAAGUACCUGAGACAGAAACGCAUUGACUUCCAGUUGCCUUACGACAUCCUAUGGUUGUGGAAACAUGAUCAGCUACACAAGAGGCCUGAUGUCCCCCUUUAUAAAAAAAUAAGAUCAAAUGUUUAUGUGGAUGUGAAGCCUCUCUCUGGUUAUGAAACAACUACAUGCAACUGUAGACUUCCCGAAGACUCAACUGAAAAAGGCUGCAUGGAUGAAUGCCUGAAUAGGAUGAGCUUUGCUGAGUGUUCUCCCAGCACCUGUCCAUGUGGAGAUCAUUGUGACAACCAGCAUAUCCAGAGACACGAGUGGGUCCAGUGUCUGGAGCGUUUCCGCACUGAGGGCAAAGGGUGGGGCAUCCGCACCAAGGAGUCUCUCCGCUCAGGACAGUUCAUCAUUGAGUAUUUGGGUGAAGUUGUUAGCGAACAGGAGUUCAGGAGUCGCAUGAUGGAACAGUACUUCUCCCACAGUGGCCACUACUGCCUGAACCUGGAUAGUGGCAUGGUGAUUGAUAGCUACAGAAUGGGCAAUGAGGCGCGUUUCAUAAACCACAGCUGUGAACCCAACUGUGAGAUGCAGAAGUGGUCAGUGAACGGGGUGUACAGAAUAGGUCUCUUUGCUCGCAGAGACAUCAGCAGCGGCACUGAGCUCACCUACGACUACAACUUCCGUUCCUUCAAUACAGAAGAGCAGCAAGCUUGCAAGUGUGGCUCAGAGGGCUGCCGGGGCAUCAUCGGAGGGAAGAGCCAGCGUAUUAAUGGGUUGCCUGGGAAAUCAGGAGGGACUCGGCGGCUCGGUCGACUCAAGGAGAAGAGGAAGUCCAAACACCAGCUCAAGAAACGAGAGGAAGAGUCAAGUGACAGCAGCAAGUUUUACCCUCAUCUGAUGAAGCCCAUGUCCAACAGAGAGAGAAACUUUGUGUUGAAGCAUCGAGUGUUUCUCUUGAGGAACUGGGAGAAGAUGAGGGAGAAACAGGAGCUGCUGAAAAGAGAGGGCGAGAGAGAGAGGGAUGCCAGCAGCCUGUCCAUGUAUACGCGCUGGGGAGGAGUCAUCCGUGAUGAUGGCAACAUCAAGUCAGACGUGUUCCUGACGCAGUUCUCAGCCCUGCAGACGUCACGGUCGGUACGCACACGAAGGCUAGCUGCAGCCGAGGAAAACACAGAAGUAACACGCACCGCUCGCCUUGCUCACAUCUUCAAGGAGAUUUGUGAUAUGAUAACCAGCUACAAGGACUCCGCUGGUCAGACACUUGCUGCCCCGCUGGUGAACCUCCCAUCUCGAAAGAGGAACAGCCAGUACUAUGAGAAGGUGUCUGACCCGCUGGACCUGAGCACCAUUGAGAAGCAAAUCCUCACGGGCCAUUAUAAGACGGUUGAAGCAUUUGACACAGACAUGCUCAAAGUAUUUCGCAAUGCUGAGAAAUAUUAUGGGAAGAAGUCAUCGAUAGGCAGAGAUGUCUGUCGGCUGCGGAAAGCCUACUACAGUGCUCGUAAUGAAGCUGCAGUCCAGAUUGAUGAGAUUGUGGGCGAGACCGCCAGCGAGGCAGACAGCUCAGACUCACUGGACCGUGACCACGGUCAUCACCACCACACAGGAGGGCCUGGGUCUCACGACAAGGAUGACGAUGUCAUCCGUUGCAUCUGUGGAAUGUACAAGGAUGAAGGCCUGAUGAUUCAAUGUGAAAAGUGUAUGGUGUGGCAGCACUUUGACUGUAUGCGACUGGAAACUGAGGUGGAGCACUAUCUGUGUGAACAGUGCGAUCCCCGGCCUGUAGAUAGGGAAGUCCCCAUGAUACCCCAGCCCAGCUACGCCCAGGCUGGCUCUGUCUACUAUAUCUGUCUCCUUAGAGAUGACCUGCUGCUACACCAAGGUGACUGUGUGUAUCUGAUGAGAGACAGCAGACGCUCACCUGAGGGUCAGCCUGUCAGACAGUCUUACCGUCUCUUGUCUCACAUCAACCGAGACAAACUCGACAUCUUCCGAAUUGAGAAGCUGUGGAAGAACGAAAAGGGUGAGCGAUUUGCCUUUGGCCACCACUACUUCCGUCCUCACGAGACACACCAUUCUCCAUCGCGGCGAUUCUACCAGAACGAGUUAUUCCGCAUGCCGCUCUAUGAGAUCAUCCCCCUGGAGGCGGUGGUGGGAACCUGCUGUGUUCUCGACCUUUAUACUUACUGCAAAGGACGGCCAAAGGGUGUGAAAGAGCAGGAUGUGUACAUCUGUGAUUACCGCUUGGACAAGUCGGCCCAUCUGUUCUACAAGAUCCAUCGCAACCGUUUUCCGGUCUGCACCAAGCCAUAUGCCUUCAACCACUUCCCCAAGCGGCUUACGCCCAAAAGAGACUUCUCGCCUCAUUAUGUUCCUGACAACUAUAAGAGGAACGGCGGCCGAUCAGCCUGGAAAAGCGAACGACCCAAAGAAGCUGGAGGCUGUGAGGACGAUGCCUCUUCUUGUGACCGGGGUGAAGAUUUCCCACCUGAGGGAGAAGAUGGAAGAGGAGUGGAAGACGACAUGGACAUGGCUUCAGAAGAUUCCGCACUUCUUUCAGCCAAGCCUAGAAGACCAGAACGGGAAAGGGAGACAGGAGAAGAGGAGGACGAGGAGGAUGGACAGGAAGCCGAUGAGCGCAAGGGGCUGGAGGAACGUUCAGCCGAGAGGAUUGGAGAGUUGCUUGAAGUUCCGUCAUCCUCGACUUCAUCGCCACUACACCACCCAGCUCUGGGCAGGAGGGAGGCCCAGCGGGAACGACUGAACAAGAUCCUGCUGGAUCUGCUGCACAGAACACCUAGCAAGAACGGUGAGGGACUGGGAACAAAGGAGGGGGGUAGGUCAACAGAUAAAUGAGGGUUAAAGUUUAAGGUCACUUUGCUGUGACACGUCAUUUGAACGUGUUGGAUCAUUUUUUUAAAACUACUACUAUUUCUGAAAGAAUAAGCUUGAAGUUGGGGCAAGAAUCUGUCCAUAAGAAGCAUAGGAUGAAGAGGAGAUCAUAUUUAUGUUCUAUUUUAUGUCACCUAAAAAUAUCAAAAUUUAGACCAACGCUUCAAGGAGAAUUCCCAUUUACCUCAACCCGGCAAAUUUACCAUUAAUAUGGCUGUAGUGGCUUGAAGGGUCAUGCUCACUUUGCGAUCAUCACCUUUUUUUUUAAAAGUUUUUAAUCUGAACAGCAUUUAUUUGGGCGACAAGCAUGAACUGCCUACAGUUUACCACAAAAGAUAUAUAUAUUUUUUAUUUUUUACAUCAAUUAAUUUUAAUCAUUUUUCAGUCUGACCGAAUGUUGCCUGGAACGGGCAUUGUACUAACCGCAUUAGGAAUCUUCAUUCUGGGAUACUUGCCGACUGACCAAAUCACUGGCAUACUCAUCAUCACAUGUGUGUAGCUGACUUACACUGUGUUUAUACUGUCUUCUGAGGAGAGUCGGCAGUUAAAUGCAAUGGCGGAUUUACCCCAUGGACCAUUUUGAGGGCGAGAGGCUGUAUCAGCUCGCUUGUCAGUAUUGAUUUUACCCAGAGUAAGCAGAUGGAUGAGGAGCUUAAACGUAAAGAAGGAAAGACAGUACUCUGAAGAUGGUGGCAGAGGCAACCUACCUCGGGAAACCGGUGGUGUUCCUGUCCUCACUGCUCUGCUAAUGCCGACUGCUGCAAAGAAGGGGGCCUUUGAAUGUGUCGAGCUGUGGAAUUACAAUUCAUGAAUUGAAAGCUUUGAAAACAUUGCCAUCCCUGAGAUGGUGUUUCAUCAACAAAAGACCAAGACUGGCCGGACUGAACUCUCAGCUUCCCAUUUGGCAACCAUUGAUGUCACUUAUCUCCUUGAGGAAGGCGCAGGGCGGCGCCUGCGGCGGCGGGCGCUCGGAUUCAGCGAUUUUGUAGGCAGAAAAUAAUGUUUCUACGUGCCUGUCAAGCACACUGCCUUUCACUGUCAUGAGCAAGGGGCAGAAAAUGGAGAGACAGCAAGAAGGGAAAUGAGCAUUGUUGGUUUUCCAGCCAUUAAGGACCACAAUGCAUCCCUGGGGGCCUCUUCCAGUUUACCUCUUCCAAGACUGUCGUCUCAGCUCUGAGAGGGGUGGAUGGUGUUUGGAAGCACUGACUUCAGGAGCUCUCAAGGAGCACAAAGAGAGAGCUGACCCAGGCUUCUUGCUUAUUUAAGUAGUAUGAUGCAAAAACUUUCUUUUUAAAAAAAGAAAAAAAAGAAAAGAAAAAUAAAACAAACAUAGGAGUUGUAACCCAUGCACUUAAAUGCAUCGAACAUUGAAACCAUGGGUAGAUGAAUUCCACUAGCAAGCAUCUGUAAUGAAAUAAGUGGUACUGAAUAAGGAUGGAUGGGGGGGAGGGAUGGAUUAAUGAUUCAGUUUGUGGGGGGGGGUAUGAGUGCUGGAGAAUUGUUCCCCCUAGUGGAACCUAGCUGCAAUGAAACAAAUGUAAGGGAUGAGAGAAGAACUGCCCAGGGGCUGUGGGGUGGGGGUAGGAAUGGCAUAGGAGAAAUGUAAAGUUGAGCGGUGUGCUCAGAUGCUGCUCAUGAGAAAGAGAGAACAAGGGUGGUGAACUGCACUUUUGGUACCAUGGAUAUUGUGAAGCUCUCUGUAAUGUAUCUAUAAUGAAAACACACUAACACUCUCACAGUAUUGGAUGAUGCAGUCUGGAAGAAAA